GUGAAUAUAUGCAUGCGUCUGUGCUUUCAGAGAAGAGACAGGAAGUGAUUCAGGCUAUACAGAUACAGGACCUAAGGAGAGAGAGGGACCCAAUGACCUGGUGACUACUGGACACAGAUUAGUCAGGCUUUUGCCCCUGAGGUUGAUCCAUUCCUCUCCUCCCUGGACAAGAAUCACAGGGUAGAGAAAAAAGCCAGUUGCCUGGAUGAAGUGGUUGUAGGCACUGGGCUGCAAGACCAUCUUCCAUCUUCCUCUCUCCCCCCCACUUCCUGCUGCUGCUUGAUGGCUAGUCUCGUGGAGACCUAAACAAAGGGAGGUCCAGAUGUCACCAAGAAAAUAUAUUCUCUUUCCCCUGAGGCUGUGCUCCUUGCUUUGCAGUUGCAGACACAAAAGCCCUCAGGGGCUUCCCAGUAGGACUGAGAUCCACUGAACCCCCUGUUCACUAGGCACCCAUAUAUGCCACUAGAAUGUGAGCCUAAGGGCAGGGUGUUGGCUACCUUGUUCACUGCUGUAUCCAAAGUAUCUAGUAUGUAGUAGUUACUCAAUAAAAACUUGUUACAAAUAAGAAUAAAAAAUAGAGGAAGACGA